AUACUUAACUGGCAGGGAAGAUUCUAUUAUCACAAAGGUGGAUUUUGCUAAACGAGGCUUAUCCACUGUAUUCUAGAUGUGCUGACCUUUUGUGAUUUCCCCAAAUCACAAGAAACUUGACUGCAUAAUUUGUGGUAGUGGGGGACUUUUUUCAUACUCUCCCUUA